CCUGCACUUAGAGGUACUGCACAUGUGCUUGCUAUGUCGCAUGUGCAUCAGUAGGUGGCCGAGAGAGGAGAGUAGCUAUGUCUAUGUUCAGUGUUCUAUCUUAUUAACACCUGAGUAACUAGUUUAAUAUU